rnacentral:rRNA from 1 species
UACGUAGGGGGCAAGCGUUGUCCGGAAUCAUUGGGCGUAAAGAGCGUGUAGGCGGCUCGAUAAGUCCGCUGUGAAAGUCCAGGGCUCAACCCUGGAAGGCCGGUGGAAACUGUCGGGCUAGAGUCCGGAAGAGGCGAGUGGAAUUCCCGGUGUAGCGGUGAAAUGCGCAGAUAUCGGGAGGAACACCAAUGGCGAAGGCAGCUCGCUGGGACGGUACUGACGCUGAGACGCGAAAGCGUGGAGAGCAAACAGG